GUCCACGCCGUAAACGAUGGGUACUAGGUGCCUGGGGGAGCGACCCUCUGGGUGCCGGCGCUAACGCAGGAAGUACCCCGCCUGGGGAGUACGACCGCAAGGUUGAAACUCAAAGGAAUUGACGGGGCCCGCACAAGCGGUGGAGCAUGUGGUUUAAUUCGACGCAACGCGAAGAACCUUACCUAGGCUUGACAUGUACGAGCAAGCUCUCAGAAACGAGAGCCCCCUUUCGGAGAUCGUGCACAGGUGCUGCAUGGCUGUCGU
rnacentral:rRNA from 1 species